CUGGACAGCCGUGAAAGAAAUUGGGACUGAUCUUUGGACAGGAGGAUGGCUGUGUCCCCUCCUGAGGUCAGAGGGGGACACUGCUUCCAGACAGGGCCUGCAGCUGAGCUUACAGCCUCUCCCGACAUGGCCACGUGAUGAUUUGGUCAUGCCUUCUGAUGAAUGGCUAUCUGCUUAUGUGCCUAGAUCCACCAGAGUUGUCACAGUUACAGGCCAGUUACUAGGAGGCCUCUUCUGAAUGUGACAUGGGAGGAGGGUCUCCCCUUUUCUCUUGGGGAGACACUGAGGUGAAAUAGGCCUGCACCAGCCAAUACAGAGGCAGCAAGUAGAGUCCUGAAGACACUCACUUGGCUGCAAAAGAGACCAGGGGUUUCCUCCAGCUGCCUGGUUGGCUGCUGCUCUGAGAAGAUACCAGGCCUCUGCUCCGGUGGCUUCAGGGAGGCCACCCUGGACACAGCCAGCAGAAGCAGGUCAUCGAUGGAGGGGUCAGCCUACAAGGACACAGCCAAGUUCAUGUUCUUUGGGAGGUGGCAGCCAAGGACUUGGUGCACUGCAAGGAGGUCAGGGAAACAGAGACAGAGAAGCUGCUUCUCCAAACUUCAGUGACCACACCUGUGUUCCUGCAGCUGAGUGUCUCUCAGAAUGGGUGUCUCUUAGGGACACACUGCUGUAGCUCAACACAGGAGCAUUGCCAACACUUUGAGCUGGAGAAUAACACAAACCACAGAUGAGCCUCUUGGAAUGACCACUGUGGGGACCUGAAGGUGUGUACUGGAGGCUGGACAAGCGUUGAGGGGCUCCCCUGGCGAGCAUCUGUGACAGGUUUGAUGAGGCCUGUUCCCAGCAGUGGCAGUGAGACUGGCAUGUCUGGAUGACCUCUACCCAGAGGCCCAGCUUUAUUGCAGGCUGGCUCUGAAUCCUUUCAUCUCUGGCCGCAGCCGGACAAAGUGCCAGAGCUGAGCAGCUGCCUCAGUUCUCCAGCCCCUGUGCUCUGAGAGGCCACACAGGGGACAGAGAUCAGAGGAGCCGACACCAAAGUGAUGCAACUGCCCUCCCAGGAA
rnacentral:lncRNA from 1 species